rnacentral:rRNA from 1 species
AACGAACGCUGGCGGCAGGCUUAACACAUGCAAGUCGAGGGGAGUGGCAGACGGGUGAGUAACGAGGGGGAACGAAUCUGUGGGUACGGAACAACACAGGGAAACAUGUGCUAAUACCGGAUACCGACAGAUGGGCCCGGGUCUGAUUAGCUAGUUGGGAGGGUAAUGGCCUACCAAGGCCACGAUCAGUAGCUGGUCUGAGAGGAUGAACAGGCACAUUGGGACUGAGACACGGCCCAAACUCCUACGGGAGGCAGCAGUGGGGAAUAUUGGGCAAUGGGGGCAACCCUGAGCCAGCCAUGCCGCGUGAGUGAUGAAGGCCCUAGGGUUGUAAAGCUCUUUUGUGCGGGAGUCGGUACCGCAAGAAUAAGCCCCGGCUAACUUCGUGCCAGCAGCCGCGGUAAUUC